UACGUAGGGGGCCAGCGUUGCUCGGAAUUACUGGGCGUAAAGGGCGCGUAGGCGGCUUGCCAAGUCAGUGGUGAAAUCCCGCAGCUUAACUGCGGAAGUGCCUUUGAUACUGGCGAGCUCGAGGGAGGUAGGGGUAUGUGGAACUUCUGGUGGAGCGGUGAAAUGCGUUGAUAUCAGAAGGAACGCCGGUGGCGAAAGCGACGUACUGGACCUCUUCUGACGCUGAGGCGCGAAAGCUAGGGGAGCAAACGGG
rnacentral:rRNA from 1 species